ACACGUUAGUACAGUAAAGAAGUGAUGUAGUCGAUGUAAUCAAUCAAUGUAUAUUGAUACUCUAACCUAUGUUAGAGAAAUAGGGAUUUAUUGGUGAAAUAAUGCAAUUAAAAUUGUUGCUCGAAUGAUGCAUACACUAAAAGUGUUGGACCUGCUUGUGUCACAAGAUUUAUCCAGAAUUAUUUGAUUCACAUGUAUACUUCUUGUGAGUAUAUUAUGUGGGCUCAUAAGGUAUUUGAUAGCAUGCAGGGGAAGAAUUUGGUUUCAUGGAAUUCCAUGUUAGAUGGCUAUGCUAAGUAUGGAGAAAUGGAGCUCUUUGAUUGUCGGUUAUGUGAAGGCACCAUGUUAAGGAAUGCACACGAGAAUGUGGCAGAUGUAUUCUCUAGUCCAAGAAGAAACAAGUAUUGGGGGAGUGUUACUCUGAAAGACAUUCAUAUAAAUGUUAUAAUUAUUAUACUAAUGUUAAAAACAUUAUAGUACGAACUAAAAGUGCAUUGUUUGGUCCUUCCAAGAUUACAUACCCGACCAGAGCAGAGAGAAAAAGGAGACAUAUUAUGUGAGCCUCCAGUUUGUGUUUUCUGUAAAGAGUAGAAAACUAAUUAUUUGUACUGUAUUUUGUACAAUUCUUGUAGUUCUAGAACAAUACAUGAAGUUUAUAAUUUGACUGUGAAGUAAGUAGUUAUAUAUAAGUUACUUUUAUAAUCAA